CAGGUCAGGUGGGGCUACCCGCUGA
rnacentral:rRNA from 1 species